rnacentral:rRNA from 1 species
AACGAACGCUGGCGGUAUGCUUAACACAUGCAAGUCGAACGGGUGUAGCAAUACAUCAGUGGCAAACGGGUGAGUAAUGUAGAGGAAUCUCCCCAACAGUACGGAAUAACUCUGGGAAACCAGUGCUAAUACCGUAUAUUCCCUCCGGGGGAAAGAUUUAUCGCUGUUGGAUGAGCCUCUAUCGGAUUAGCUAGUUGGUGGGGUAAAUGCCCACCAAGGCGAUGAUCCGUAGCUGGUCUGAGAGGAUGAUCAGCCACACUGGAACUGAGACACGGUCCAGACUCCUACGGGAGGCAGCAGUGGGGAAUAUCGGACAAUGGGCGAAAGCCUGAUCCAGCAAUACCGCGUGAGUGAUGAAGGUCUUCGGAUUGUAAAGCUCUUUUAGUGGGGAAGAUAAUGACGGUACCCACAGAAAAAGCACCGGCAAACUUCGUGCCAGCAGCCGCAGUAA